CUACGGGUCGCUGCAGUGGGGAAUAUUGGACAAUGGGCGAAAGCCUGAUCCAGCAAUACCGCGUGAAUGAUGAAGGCCUUAGGGUUGUAAAGUUCUUUUAGUUGGAAAGAUAAUGACGGUACCAACAGAAAAAGCCCCGGCUAACUCCGUGCCAGCAGCCGCGGUAAGACGGAGGGGGCUAGCGUUGUUCGGAAUUACUGGGCGUAAAGGGCGCGUAGGCGGAUUAGUAAGUUGGGAGUGAAAGCCCGGGGCUUAACCUCGGAACUGCUUUCAAAACUGCUAGUCUUGAGUGAAGUAGGGGAUGAUGGAAUUCCUAGUGUAGAGGUGAAAUUCUUAGAUAUUAGGAGGAACACCGGUGGCGAAGGCGGUCAUCUGGACUUCAACUGACGCUGAGGCGCGAAAGCGUGGGGAGCAAACAGGAUUAGAUACCCCUGGUAGUC
rnacentral:rRNA from 1 species